CCUAAAGAUCGUGCUGCGAAAAGCAGGGACUGAACAACGUCACUACUGCAGCGAUGUUUAAUGCUUUCGCUGCUGCUCUUAACGCCGGACAAUACGCUUUAUAUUUCGGGCAAUAAGAAAGUUCUACCAGCCUCCCCAAAUUGUGCAGAACGACCCUGCCAUGAAACAUUUGGCCUGCCUACUACUUCUUUUUUGCUGCGUCCAUUGCGUUCUCGCCCUGAAAAAUGCGGUGGUUAGGUUUUGCAUGACACCAAGCACGGUUCGUACAUGCCGAGAACAUGGCCAAUCUUGGGGUAUUGAUUUCGUGACCCGAGUGUGUAAAUUAUUCGUACCUGAUACUUGCAAUUCAACAACCCCAAGCAAGUUCGUUUCAGAAAAAAUGUGUCAACGCAUUUGCCUACCGCCACCAAAGCGAAAACUCUUGUGCAGCCUCAUGCCGAAACCAGGCCCCUGCUCUACGAGUAAUCGAACGUGGCACUUCGAUGCCAGCACCGGCUUCUGUAAACAUUUUGCAGGCGGAAAAUGCGGAACCAAUUCUAAUAGCUUUUCCUCGUGCGAAAAGUGUACGAAGAGAUGCAGUGAUCGUAAUGUGGACGCAGUGUGCGUCCUGCCUCAGAAACCGAAGACGAAGCCAGAACAUAAACCAAAACUACAUGUACAAAAUGUACCGGCCCGGCCUCCCCUAACAGGGCCAGAAUAAAUAAUUGGACGGCUGUUUCAUUCUCCCCGAGCCUGCACAAUAACGCCAGAAUAAAGUAUUUGGUCCUCAUGCA